rnacentral:rRNA from 1 species
CAGUCGAACGAACUCUGGUAUUGAUUGGUGCUUGCAUCAUGAUUUACAUUUGAGUGAGUGGCGAACUGGUGAGUAACACGUGGGAAACCUGCCCAGAAGCGGGGGAUAACACCUGGAAACAGAUGCUAAUACCGCAUAACAACUUGGACCGCAUGGUCCGAGUUUGAAAGAUGGCUUCGGCUAUCACUUUUGGAUGGUCCCGCGGCGUAUUAGCUAGAUGGUGGGGUAACGGCUCACCAUGGCAAUGAUACGUAGCCGACCUGAGAGGGUAAUCGGCCACAUUGGGACUGAGACACGGCCCAAACUCCUACGGGAGGCAGCAGUAGGGAAUCUUCCACAAUGGACGAAAGUCUGAUGGAGCAACGCCGCGUGAGUGAAGAAGGGUUUCGGCUCGUAAAACUCUGUUGUUAAAGAAGAACAUAUCUGAGAGUAACUGUUCAGGUAUUGACGGUAUUUAACCAGAAAGCCACGGCUAACUACGUGCCAGCAGCCGCGGUAAUACGUAGGUGGCAAGCGUUGUCCGGAUUUAUUGGGCGUAAAGCGAGCGCAGGCGGUUUUUUAAGUCUGAUGUGAAAGCCUUCGGCUCAACCGAAGAAGUGCAUCGGAAACUGGGAAACUUGAGUGCAGAAGAGGACAGUGGAACUCCAUGUGUAGCGGUGAAAUGCGUAGAUAUAUGGAAGAACACCAGUGGCGAAGGCGGCUGUCUGGUCUGUAACUGACGCUGAGGCU